AGAUUAAGUUAUUAAGGGCGCACGGUGGAUGCCUUGGCACUAGAAGCCGAUGAAGGACGUUACUAACGACGAUAUGCUUUGGGUAGCUGUAAGUAAGCGUUGAUCCAGAGAUUUCCGAAUGGGGGAACCCAGCAUGAGUUAUGUCAUGUUAUCGACAUGUGAAUUCAUAGCAUGUCAGAAGGCAGACCCGGAGAACUGAAACAUCUUAGUACCCGGAGGAAGAGAAAGAAAAAUCGAUUCCCUGAGUAGCGGCGAGCGAAACGGGAAGAGCCCAAACCAACAAGCUUGCUUGUUGGGGUUGUAGGACACUCUAUACGGAGUUACAAAAGAACAUGUUAGACGAAUCAUCUGGAAAGAUGAAUCAAAGAAGGUAAUAAUCCUGUAGUCGAAAACAUAUUCUCUCUUGAGUGGAUCCUGAGUACGACGGAGCACGUGAAAUUCCGUCGGAAUCUGGGAGGACCAUCUCCUAAGGCUAAAUACUCUCUAGUGACCGAUAGUGAACCAGUACCGUGAGGGAAAGGUGAAAAGUACCCCGGAAGGGGAGUGAAAGAGAACUUGAAACCGUGUGCUUACAAGUAGUCAGAGCCCGUUAAUGGGUGAUGGCGUGCCUUUUGUAGAAUGAACCGGCGAGUUACGAUCUGAUGCAAGGUUAAGCAGCAAAUGUGGAGCCGCAGCGAAAGCGAGUCUGAAUAGGGUGUUGAGUAUUUGGUCGUAGACCCGAAACCAGGUGAUCUACCCUUGGUCAGGUUGAAGUUCAGGUAACACUGAAUGGAGGACCGAACCGACUUACGUUGAAAAGUGAGCGGAUGAACUGAGGGUAGCGGAGAAAUUCCAAUCGAACUUGGAGAUAGCUGGUUCUCUCCGAAAUAGCUUUAGGGCUAGCCUCAAGUGAUGAUUAUUGGAGGUAGAGCACUGUUUGGACGAGGGGCCCCUCUCGGGUUACCGAAUUCAGACAAACUCCGAAUGCCAAUUAAUUUAACUUGGGAGUCAGAACAUGGGUGAUAAGGUCCGUGUUCGAAAGGGAAACAGCCCAGACCACCAGCUAAGGUCCCAAAAUAUAUGUUAAGUGGAAAAGGAUGUGGCGUUGCCCAGACAACUAGGAUGUUGGCUUAGAAGCAGCCAUCAUUUAAAGAGUGCGUAAUAGCUCACUAGUCGAGUGACACUGCGCCGAAAAUGUACCGGGGCUAAACAUAUUACCGAAGCUGUGGAUUGUCCUUUGGACAAUGGUAGGAGAGCGUUCUAAGGGCGUCGAAGCAUGAUCGUAAGGACAUGUGGAGCGCUUAGAAGUGAGAAUGCCGGUGUGAGUAGCGAAAGACGGGUGAGAAUCCCGUCCACCGAUUGACUAAGGUUUCCAGAGGAAGGCUCGUCCGCUCUGGGUUAGUCGGGUCCUAAGCUGAGGCCGACAGGCGUAGGCGAUGGAUAACAGGUUGAUAUUCCUGUACCACCUAGUAUCGUUUUAAUCGAUGGGGGGACGCAGUAGGAUAGGCGAAGCGUGCUGUUGGAGUGCACGUCCAAGCAGUAAGGCUGAGUGUUAGGCAAAUCCGGCACUCAUAAGGCUGAGCUGUGAUGGGGAGAGGAAAUUGUUUCCUCGAGUCGUUGAUUUCACACUGCCGAGAAAAGCCUCUAGAUAGAUAACAGGUGCCCGUACCGCAAACCGACACAGGUAGUCAAGAUGAGAAUUCUAAGGUGAGCGAGCGAACUCUCGUUAAGGAACUCGGCAAAAUGACCCCGUAACUUCGGGAGAAGGGGUGCUCUUUAGGGUUCACGCCCAGAAGAGCCGCAGUGAAUAGGCCCAAGCGACUGUUUAUCAAAAACACAGGUCUCUGCUAAACCGUAAGGUGAUGUAUAGGGGCUGACGCCUGCCCGGUGCUGGAAGGUUAAGAGGAGUGGUUAGCUUCUGCGAAGCUACGAAUCGAAGCCCCAGUAAACGGCGGCCGUAACUAUAACGGUCCUAAGGUAGCGAAAUUCCUUGUCGGGUAAGUUCCGACCCGCACGAAAGGCGUAACGAUUUGGGCACUGUCUCAACGAGAGACUCGGUGAAAUCAUAGUACCUGUGAAGAUGCAGGUUACCCGCGACAGGACGGAAAGACCCCGUGGAGCUUUACUGUAGCCUGAUAUUGAAAUUCGGCACAGCUUGUACAGGAUAGGUAGGAGCCUUUGAAACGUGAGCGCUAGCUUACGUGGAGGCGUUGGUGGGAUACUACCCUAGCUGUGUUGGCUUUCUAACCCGCACCACUUAUCGUGGUGGGAGACAGUGUCAGGCGGGCAGUUUGACUGGGGCGGUCGCCUCCUAAAAGGUAACGGAGGCGCUCAAAGGUUCCCUCAGAAUGGUUGGAAAUCAUUCAUAGAGUGUAAAGGCAUAAGGGAGCUUGACUGCGAGACCUACAAGUCGAGCAGGGUCGAAAGACGGACUUAGUGAUCCGGUGGUUCCGCAUGGAAGGGCCAUCGCUCAACGGAUAAAAGCUACCCCGGGGAUAACAGGCUUAUCUCCCCCAAGAGUUCACAUCGACGGGGAGGUUUGGCACCUCGAUGUCGGCUCAUCGCAUCCUGGGGCUGUAGUCGGUCCCAAGGGUUGGGCUGUUCGCCCAUUAAAGCGGUACGCGAGCUGGGUUCAGAACGUCGUGAGACAGUUCGGUCCCUAUCCGUCGUGGGCGUAGGAAAUUUGAGAGGAGCUGUCCUUAGUACGAGAGGACCGGGAUGGACAUACCUCUGGUGUACCAGUUGUCGUGCCAACGGCAUAGCUGGGUAGCUAUGUAUGGACGGGAUAAGUGCUGAAAGCAUCUAAGCAUGAAGCCCCCCUCAAGAUGAGAUUUCCCAACUUCGGUUAUAAGAUCCCUCGAAGAUGACGAGGUUAAUAGGUUCGAGGUGGAAGCGUGGUGACACGUGGAGCUGACGAAUACUAAUCGAUCGAAGACUUAAUCAAUUU
rnacentral:rRNA from 1 species